rnacentral:rRNA from 1 species
UACGUAGGGUGCAAGCGUUGUCCGGAAUUAUUGGGCGUAAAGAGCUCGUAGGCGGUUUGUCGCGUCUGCUGUGAAAACCCGAGGCUCAACCUCGGGCCUGCAGUGGGUACGGGCAGACUAGAGUGCGGUAGGGGAGAUUGGAAUUCCUGGUGUAGCGGUGGAAUGCGCAGAUAUCAGGAGGAACACCGAUGGCGAAGGCAGAUCUCUGGGCCGUAACUGACGCUGAGGGGCGAAAGCGUGGGGAGCGAACAGG